rnacentral:rRNA from 1 species
UACGUAGGGGGCGAGCGUUGUCCGAAGUUACUGGGCGUAAAGCGCACGUAGGCGGCUUUGCAAGUCAGAGGUGAAAGCCCGGGGCUCAACCCCGGAAUUGCCUUUGAGACUGCAUCGCUAGAAUUGUGGAGAGGUAAGUGGAAUUCCGAGUGUAGAGGUGAAAUUCGUAGAUAUUCGGAAGAACACCAGUGGCGAAGGCGACUUACUGGACACAUAUUGACGCUGAGGUGCGAAAGCGUGGGGAGCAAACAGGG